rnacentral:rRNA from 1 species
GGCAAAAUGAGAGCCUAACUGUCUCUUAUAACAAAUCAAUUAAACUGAUCUCCCAGUACAAAAGCUGGGAUACCCACAUAAGACCAGAAGACCCUGUGAAGCUUUAACUAACCUAUUAAACCUCAUAAUAACUAGUUUCGGUUGGGGCGACCUUGGAAUAAAAAAGAACUUCCAAAAAUAUGACCUUCUCAUAUAAAAGGCAGACAGGCCACAAUUAGACCCAGAACUUCUGAUACAUGAACCAAGUUACUCCAGGGAUAACAGCGCUAUCUUCUUUAAGAGCCCAUAUCAAAAAGAAGGUUUACGACCUCGAUGUUGGAUCAGGACAUCCUAGCAAUGCAACAGUUACUAAGGGUUCGUUUGUUCAACGAUUAAUAGUCCUACGUGA